rnacentral:antisense_RNA from 1 species
CUAUGUUUUUGCUCACCGAAGCUAAAUAUACAUAGGAAUUGAUUCCACAGCCAUGGAAUUGAGAAAAACCAGGAAGUGAUGCUGAAAACAUAAAUAAAUGGUAUUAUUUAGAAAAAAACUUUCAAGGAAUCAGUUAUUUUACCAAUUCCAAAAGAAUGAAAAAAGUGAAGACUCAGAAAACGUCAGAUCCAUGAUCUGUUGCUCUAAACGCCGUUUCUCCUGGAGAACCUUAAAGAUAAAUAUGCAACCCUUUACAUUCUCCAGUGAUGUCAACAGCCUAAGCUGAAUUUCAAAUUACAUCGAGUCAAUGAAAAGGUGAAUGGAUUUUUAGAGCAACUCAGAUUCAAAGAAUCAAAUUGCCUUUAUUCUUAUUUUAAGGAACAUGACUGAUAACCUGUGCAGAAAAUAAAAAAAAAACUAACUAUAGCAAUCGCAGCAUAUGUUUAACCUAACAAUUAAAAAUAUAUAACUGAAAAUUACAAUAAAAA